GAGUCCUAUUUCCUGGUUUCUAAGAGUCACGGUUAAAAAAUUCUCAGAAACUUCUUAAAUUUGCCUGUGGAUGGAACCUUAGUGGGCUGGAAAGAUGAAGCCAAACUGUCAAGGGAGAGUGAAUCCGAGGAUUUUCUUUCAAGCUGCUGGACACCCAUCUUGAAAGUUUGGUGUGACGGUGUUUAGGACACGCUGUUCUGAAAUCUGGCAACUUGGCAUCUGAGAAACAGCAGAAACAGGAAAGCCUCUCUGGCCUUCCCCUUGCCCUUCUCCCCUGAAGCAGGUCGUAGACGCCAGGGUGAUCUCUCACUUUCCCUCCCCCUCCUCCUUGAAGCAGGUCAUGAGAUCCUCAUUCCAGAGGUACCUUCCCUAGGAAAGGGACCUCUUUAUCUCUGAAGACACAGGGACACUGAGAAGACUGCACAAAUAGGCCUUGCUAAGUUCUCCCCAGUUUAUUCCCACUAGAUCCUACCCCCUUCAUCCAAUCGUAUUUUCCCAUGACUGCUUACUCUUCCCCAAACCUAAGCAUAAAAUUAUGUAAAUUUACCUAUUUCUUUGGAUCUUCAACUUCACACAGAGGCUCUUGUGUCACAUACAACUUAUAUUAAAUAAAUUUGUAUGCUUUUCUCUUGUUAA